ACGAAGGGGGCUAGCGUUGUUCGGAAUUACUGGGCGUAAAGCGUAUGCAGGCGGACUUUUUAGUCGGGGGUGAAAUCCCGGGGCUCAACCUCGGAACUGCCUUUGAUACUGCAAAUCUCGAGUCCGGAAGAGGUGAGUGGAAUUCCUAGUGUAGAGGUGAAAUUCGUAGAUAUUAGGAAGAACACCAGUGGCGAAGGCGGCUCACUGGUCCGGUACUGACGCUGAGGUGCGAAAGCGUGGGGAGCAAACAGGA
rnacentral:rRNA from 1 species